CAGUGGGGAUAACGUAGCGAAAGUUACGCUAAUACCGCAUAUCUGUGAGCAGGAAAGCAGGGAUCGCAAGACCUUGCGCUGAUUGAGCGGCCGAUGUCAGAUUAGCUAGUUGGUGAGGUAAAGGCUCACCAAGGCGACGAUCUGUAGCGGGUCUGAGAGGAUGAUCCGCCACACUGGAACUGAGACACGGUCCAGACUCCUACGGGAGGCAGCAGUGGGGAAUUUUGGACAAUGGGGGCAACCCUGAUCCAGCCAUGCCGCGUGAGUGAAGAAGGCCUUCGGGUUGUAAAGCUCUUUCGGCCGGGAAGAAAUCGUAUGGGCUAAUACCCUGUGCGGAUGACGGUACCGGCAUAAGAAGCACCGGCUAACUACGUG
rnacentral:rRNA from 1 species